rnacentral:rRNA from 1 species
UACGGGGGGGCAAGCGUUGUUCGGAAUUACUGGGCGUAAAGGGCUCGUAGGCGGCCAACUAAGUCAGACGUGAAAUCCCCCGGCUUAACCAGGGAACUGCGUCUGAUACUGGAUGGCUUGAGUUUGGGAGAGGGAUGCGGAAUUCCAGGUGUAGCGGUGAAAUGCGUAGAUAUCUGGAGGAACACCGGUGGCGAAGGCGACAUCCUGGACCAACACUGACGCUGAGACGCGAAAGCGUGGGGAGCGAACCGG